rnacentral:tRNA from 6 species
GCGGGAGUAGCUCAGGGGUAGAGCACAACCUUGCCAAGGUUGGGGUCGCGGGUUCGAAUCCCGUCUCCCGCUCCA